AAGCUAGGGGCGCCAGAUUUGGCUGAGAGAUUUAUAAAUCGACCCUUGAACCUGAACUGGGUAAUUCCAGCGUAGGAAAGCUAUAUUAU
rnacentral:ncRNA from 1 species